UUUUCAACCAGCUGAUACUAUUGUCGAACGGGUAGUAGAUGUCAUCGAGCCUCUUCGAAUGAUAAUGAUCUGAAGUUCUGAUAGCUCUGUAGAUCUAUGCCACUAAAUCAUCAAUUUCUGCUUUGUUGUAGUUGUCCUGCUCUGGCACAGUCGGUAUGGGUACCUCUGUGUUCUCCCAACAUGGUGUCCUCUUCUUGUUCUGAUGAAGUGUGCUUUGUCUGGAUCCAAAGUGACCGUUGAUCGAUGGUGCAGCUGCGUCAACGAUCGAUGGUGGAUCCUCAGCUCCGGUCUGCGUGUCCAGGAAAUUUCUGGAUCAAUUCAUUGCAAUGAUUUCAGCUAUGUCCUCCUUGGAUAUGUGGAGAAUGCGUCCAUCCAUGGCUCGUGUUUGGCCUUCUAGAUCCCUGAAAAUAUCAAAUUCAUCUGGAGUUAGAUAACCAUAUUAUGUAUUAUCUUUAACAUGUAACUUGGAAUCUGGUGUGUGAUGAGCGUCGAUCGAUGGUCGGAUAUCGCUGUCGAUCGA
rnacentral:lncRNA from 1 species